rnacentral:lncRNA from 1 species
GCCUAUAUAAUAAAUAAUAUAAUUAUGUAUAAUGACUAAAUAACGAUGAUAAAUGGAAACUUGUAUGAUAUUUUUAUAUUAAAUAUGUACAGUAUAGAUUCAGGAAUUGAUAUUUGUUUCGAUAACAAUCGGUAUACUUCGCUAUCUGAUGGAAAGUUUGUGCCAUUUUCUAAUAUGGUAAUACCUCGGAGUUACUUAAUAGGUGAGACCGGGAAGCAUAACAUAAGUCGAAAAUUACAUAAGUCAAGGUACCUACAGACUCCCAAAUCUAAUUUCAAAUGAAUGUGUAUUAGAUUCUUAA